rnacentral:rRNA from 1 species
GUGUCAGCAGCCGCGGUAAUACGGAGGGUGCAAGCGUUAUCCGGAUUCACUGGGUUUAAAGGGUGCGUAGGUGGAUUGAUAAGUCAGUGGUGAAAGCCCCGAGCUCAACUUGGGAAUUGCCAUUGAUACUGUUAGUCUUGAGUUCGGUUGAGGUAGGCGGAAUAAGUCAUGUAGCGGUGAAAUGCUUAGAUAUGACUUAGAACACCGAUUGCGAAGGCAGCUUACCAAGCCGACACUGACACUGAGGCACGAAAGCGUGGGGAUCAAACAGGAUUAGAUACCCUGGUAGUCCACGCCCUAAACGAUGAUCAUUCGACAUUAGCGAUAAACAGUUAGUGUCCAAGCGAAAGCGUUAAAUGAUCCACCUGGGGAGUACGCCCGCAAGGGUGAA